rnacentral:lncRNA from 1 species
GCUGGGUAUGCAAGGGAGCUCGUAUGAGUGAAGUGAACAGUGGCUGUGGUAUGGGAUAGACAUUCCCCCUUAGUUACUAGCAUCCCAAAACCCCAGCCUCAUUUUCAGUCCUCAGGAACACCCACAGUCCUAGACACUUACGAACCCAGUAAGAGGGGUGGUGUGCAUAUUCCACAAGUGGACUGAUGAAACCCAUCACACUGUAGGUGAAAGCCCCUGUCACCAAACCCUAACAGUCAAUGCCUCCACAGCAGAGUGGUGGCCAAGGUUACCCCAAGGAGCCUGGUCUCCUUCUAACUUAAGCUACCUCAAUUGUGUCUUGUAAAAAAAGGCCUGGUACUAUACAAACACCACUAACCCUUAAGCUGCAUACCCCUGCCUAAGUGCACUAUGGGACAAUCCUAUGAACACCAGCCUACAAUGGAUUGCCCCUGAAGGAUUCUUUUGGAUAUGUGGAACCCAGGCUUACUCAUGGCUACCUUAUCACUGGCAAGGUACUUGCUUCCUAGGCAUAGUUAAACCUGGAUUCUUUUUACUUCCAAAGCAGGUGGGCAACACCCUUGGAGUCCCUGUAUGUGAUAACCUAAACAGAGAAAAACAAUCCUUAAAGGUAGGAGGAAGCCAAAGAUGGCGAGAGGACAAGUGGCCUCUGCAAUGGAUCAUUGAAUAUUAUGGCCCUGCCACUUGGGCUGAGGAUGGUUCAUGGGGUUAUCACACUCCCAUAUAUAGGCUAAAUAGAAUAAUUAUACUACAGGCUAUUCUAAAGAUAAUCACUAACCAAACUGCCUCAGCCCUGGAAAUGCUUGCACAACAACAAAACCAAAUGCACACGACAACUUAUCAAAACAGACUGACACUAGACUACUUAUUAGCAGAAGAGGGUGGGGUCUAUGAUAAGUUUAAUAUCUCCAAUUGUUGUCUUAACAUAGAAUAUAAUGGAAAAGUGGUUCUAGAGAUUGCCUCAAACAUCAGAAAAGUAGCCCAUGUACCAGUCCAAACCUGGAAGGGAUGGGACCCGAUAAACCUUCUAGGAGGGUGGCUCUCUAAUUUAGGAGGAUUUAAAACGCUGGUAGAGACAGUAAUCUUCAUCAUUGGGUUCCUCCUGUUUCUCCCCUAUCCCACUGAUAAUGAAAGCCACUAAAACUUGUUGAAACUACAGUUAACUGCCAGACAAUCCAGACGAUGCUCCUGCUACAAUGACACAAUGGAUACCAACCCGUCUCUCAAGAAUACCCCAAAAAUUAAGUUUUUCUUUAUUCCGAGGUGCCCAUGGCACCCCCUAUGUCAUACCUGAAGUAGUUAUUGAGAAAGUUGUCCCUUUUCCCUUUUCUAUAACCGAAUAGACAGGAAUUAAAGAUUCUCCCCAGGGCCUGAAAGUUUGGGGGGAUGAAUAACUCCUCCCUCCUCAGGCCCAGUCCCAAGGCACAAAGCCACUUGCGUCAGCAGCGUGCAUCAGCAAGAUAGAAGAAGCAGGAAGAGAGCUGGCUGGAAGACAUGUACCCACUGGAGAUCGAGAGAGGGAGCCAUCAGGGUACCACGUAGCAGUUAGGUCAGACUGGGACACUUCUUGUUUACUGGAGACUAUAAAACCCCUGCCUGCCCUCACCUGGGGCUGACACCAUUUUAGGCCUCAGCCCAUCUGCACCCAGGUGCUCACUAAAACAGCGUGUUUCUCCACACCACCUUGUGUUGUUUGUUGGCACGUUCUCAGGGUUUGAACCACUAAAAGAGCCUUUCAGAAAAGAGGUUUAAUUGACUCACAGUUUUGCAUGGCUGGAGAUGCCUCAGGAAACUUACAGUCAUAGUGGAAGGCACUUUUACACAAGGCAGCAGGAGUGAAUGAAUGCCAAGCAAAGGGGGAAGCCCCUUAUUAAACCAUCAGCUCUUGUGAGAACUCACUCACUAUUAUGAGAACUGCAUGGGGGAAACUGUUCCC